rnacentral:lncRNA from 1 species
UUUCUCAACUACAGGUGAUUCCAGAGAACAAAUGAUCUUUCCUGAUGCAAGGCUUUCAGAAGCAUUGUUCUGCCUACCUUUUUCUUCUCUUUUUACCUAAUACAUUUUUAUUCAUUCUUCAAAGUUAAGCUGAAAUUUUACUUCAAAGAAUGAUUCCCUGGGUACGGCUACUAUACAUAUUUGUAUUUUGUGGAGAAUUUUUGCAUCUGUGUUCACCAGAUAAAUUACCAGCUAGAAUAACCAAGAAGUGAAGAGGAAAGACCCAAACAAACAAAAUCAGAAAUGAAAAAGGAGACAUUACAACUGACACCACAUAAAUACAAAAGAUAACCAGAGACUAUUUUGAACAACUAUAUGCUAACAAACUGGAAAGCCUAGAGCAAAUGAAAAAAUUCCUGGAAACAUACAGUGUACUAAUAUUUAAUCAGGAAAAGAUAGAAAAUUUGAACAGACCAAUAUCAAGUAGCAAGAUUGAAUCAGUAAUAAAAAGUCUCCCCCAUCAAAAACAAACAAACAAACAAAAAACCUAGAACUGGAUAAAUUUGCUGCCAAAUUCUGCAAAACAUAUGAAGAAGAACUAAUACCAAUCUUCCUCAAACUAUUUCAAAAAAUUAAAAAGCAAGAAAUCAUCUCUAACUCAAUCUAAGAGGCCAGUAUUAUUUUGAUACUGAAACCUACCAGGGUUAUCACAUUAAAAGAAAACUACAGUUUAAUAUUCCUGAUGAACCUAGACCCUAUUUGUCAGACCUCUGAGCCCAAGCUAAGCCAUCAUAUCCCGUGAUUUGCACGUACACAUCCAGAUGGUACACAUCCAGAUGGCCAGUUCCUGCCUUAACUGAUGAC